UACAGAGGGGGCAAGCGUUGUUCGGAAUUACUGGGCGUAAAGGGCGCGUAGGCGGCCUUCUAAGUCGAACGUGAAAUCCCCGGGCUCAACCCGGGAACUGCGUCCGAUACUGGAAGGCUUGAAUCCGGGAGAGGGAUGCGGAAUUCCAGGUGUAGCGGUGAAAUGCGUAGAUAUCUGGAGGAACACCGGUGGCGAAGGCGACAUCCUGGACCGGCAUUGACGCUGAGGCGCGAAAUCCAGGGGAGCAAACGGG
rnacentral:rRNA from 1 species